rnacentral:lncRNA from 1 species
GUUUGAAGCCAUCAAUGGACUGACAGCAUAAUACCCAUGACUUGCACAGUGUGUGUCUCUCAGCUGCAGAAAUAAGGGCAGGAUAAUUUUAGCUCUGCGUGUCUUAGCAGGGCUCCAUCUCUCCUGCCACCAAGCUGGCUCCAGACAGAGGCCAGUUGGGUCCUUCGGCAGCGAGGCCCUCCGAUCCUGGUCACACUGGAGCACCAUGAGGCCUGACACAGCUUGA